GGUACUUGUGAUAUCUUUGUUUUCUACCCCAUUGUGUACUUUACUAUCCAUAUCCGUAUACUGAAAAAGGAAACAAAGACUGGAUAUUGAUGCCAACGAUAAAAACGUUAAUUUUUACAAAUAGACAGGCCUAAGAAACAAGUGAAAAUCGUUGGUAAACAAAUGAUUAGAAUUAGUCUGCUAAGGCUGAGCCGGUUUUUAACUUAUAGAGUUGUCUCCCAUGAAUGACCUUAUUCCCUGUGUAAACAACGAGGAUGUGGUAUUAACACCCGGAAAAAUAAUCAAAUCACUUAAAAACCAAGGCCUUGUUUGAUCUGCCCAUUUAUCUAGUCUAGACAGUUAUGGCUGAUUGUGGUUGGUUAUGGAGUAUAUUGUGGGCUAUAAUUUUACUGGUAUUUGGAUGGCCUAUUGGAUUUAUUUGUGCUAUAUUUUACUGUUUACUUAGUCCAUUUGCUGCAUGUUGUCAUGGAUGUAAUGAAUUAAUUAAUCUAUUAGAAAGAGGAGUAAAGUUACCUCUGACUUGUUCUCAGAAUAUGGUGAAAGGAAAAUCUAUGUGUUGAUAAUACUGCAAUUUAUAGUACUGGUGCUUAAUUUGGACACUUGUGCAAGUAUGUGAAAAAUGUGUAUGAAAGAUGGAUCCAAGUUUUAUAAUUAUUGCACUGAACAUGUAUAAAUGUCAAAGUAUUAAAGUUAUGCACUGGUAUGCAUGGUAUGUUGUGUUCAUAUGUUUCAGGGGCGGAUGCAGGAAUUUUUGAAAGGGUGGGUGCUAACCCAGGGCAAAGGGGGGGUGCAAAACAUAUGUCCCGAUACAAAUGCAUUGAUCAGCAAAAAUAAAGGGGGGGUGCGCACCCCCGGAACCCCCCCUCUGGAUCCGCCACUGUGUUUAGAUGAAUAACUUGCUCAUAUUCACUGAUCUUUCUUAUGCUUGCCUACAGUAAUUUUAAUCUCAAUUAACAUACAAUCUCUUGUAAUUGUAGUUUUAUAUGUUUAUAGAUUUACCAUAAAUAAUGUAGUUUUUUUUAUACCAUAAACAUUUUAUGUAAAGAUUUAAUAAUUUCAUGUGUUUCAUGGUUGAAUUGUUACCUUCAUAUUGUGUAUAUUCUUAUUCAAUAUUUAAAUAAACAGGGUCGCUAGAAUGAUUUCAGGCUUUUAAGUAUUAGCAUAAAAAAUAAGACAUGGAUCAGCAUUUCCAAUGAUGUACAUUAUGUUAA